ACGGGUGAGUAACGCGUAUCCAACCUUCCCAUGACUAAGGGAUAACCUGCCGAAAGGCAGACUAAUACCUUAUGGUCUUCACUGACGGCAUCAGAUGUGAAGUAAAGAUUUAUCGGUUAUGGAUGGGGAUGCGUCUGAUUAGCUUGUUGGCGGGGUAACGGCCCACCAAGGCAACGAUCAGUAGGGGUUCUGAGAGGAAGGUCCCCCACAUUGGAACUGAGACACGGUCCAAACUCCUACGGGAGGCAGCAGUGAGGAAUAUUGGUCAAUGGGCGAGAGCCUGAACCAGCCAAGUAGCGUGCAGGAAGACGGCCCUAUGGGUUGUAAACUGCUUUUGUAUGGGGAUAAAGUCAAUCACGUGUGAUUGUUUGCAGGUACCAUACGAAUAAGGACCGGCUAAUUCCGUGCCAGCAGCCGCGGUAAUACGGAAGGUCCGGGCGUUAUCCGGAUUUAUUGGGUUUAAAGGGAGCGUAGGCUGGAGAUUAAGUGUGUUGUGAAAUGUAGACGCUCAACGUCUGACUUGCAGCGCAUACUGGUUUCCUUGAGUACGCACAACGUUGGCGGAAUUCGUCGUGUAGCGGUGAAAUGCUUAGAUAUGACGAAGAACUCCGAUUGCGAAGGCAGCUGACGGGAGCGCAACUGACGCUGAAGCUCGAAGGUGCGGGUAUCGAACAGGAUUAGAUACCCUGGUAGUCCGCACAGUAAAC
rnacentral:rRNA from 1 species